GAUGAACGCUGGCGGCGUGCCUAACACAUGCAAGUCGAGCGAUUCUCUUCGGAGAAGAGCGGCGGACGGGUGAGUAACGCGUGGGUAACCUGCCCUGUACACACGGAUAACAUACCGAAAGGUAUGCUAAUACGAGAUAACAUAAGAAAUUCGCAUGUUUUUCUUAUCAAAGCUCCGGCGGUACAGGAUGGACCCGCGUCUGAUUAGCUAGUUGGUGAGGUAACGGCUCACCAAGGCGACGAUCAGUAGCCGACCUGAGAGGGUGAUCGGCCACAUUGGAACUGAGACACGGUCCAAACUCCUACGGGAGGCAGCAGUGGGGAAUAUUGCACAAUGGGCGAAAGCCUGAUGCAGCAACGCCGCGUGAGCGAUGAAGGCCUUCGGUCGUAAGACUCUGUCCUCAAGGAAGAUAAUGACGGUACUUGUAGGAGGAAGCCCGGCGUAACUACGUG
rnacentral:rRNA from 1 species